GUAGGGAAUCUUGCGCAAUGGGCGAAAGCCUGACGCAGCCAUGCCGCGUGAAUGAUGAAGGUCUUAGGAUUGUAAAAUUCUUUCACCGGGGACGAUAAUGACGGUACCCGGAGAAGAAGCCCCGGCUAACUUCGUGCCAGCAGCCGCGGUAAUACGAAGGGGGCUAGCGUUGCUCGGAAUUACUGGGCGUAAAGGGAGCGUAGGCGGAUAGUUUAGUCAGAGGUGAAAGCCCAGGGCUCAACCUUGGAAUUGCCUUUGAUACUGGCUAUCUUGAGUAUGGAAGAGGUAUGUGGAACUCCGAGUGUAGAGGUGAAAUUCGUAGAUAUUCGGAAGAACACCAGUGGCGAAGGCGACAUACUGGUCCAUUACUGACGCUGAGGCUCGAAAGCGUGGGGAGCAAACAGGAUUAGAAACCCGGGUAGUCC
rnacentral:rRNA from 1 species